CAUGAACUUCAGUAAUGCCAGGGGCAGA
rnacentral:sRNA from 1 species